UACGUAGGGGGCUAGCGUUGUCCGGAAUCAUUGGGCGUAAAGCGCGUGUAGGCGGUCCGGUAAGUCCGCUGUGAAAGUCGGGGGCUCAACCCUCGAAUGCCGGUGGAUACUGUCGGGCUAGAGUGCGGAAGAGGCGAGUGGAAUUCCUGGUGUAGCGGUGAAAUGCGCAGAUAUCAGGAGGAACACCAAUUGCGAAGGCAGCUCGCUGGGACGUAACUGACGCUGAGGAGCGAAAGCGUGGGGAGCGAACAGG
rnacentral:rRNA from 1 species